rnacentral:rRNA from 1 species
CGUGAGCAACCUGCCUUUAUCAGGGGGAUAACGCAUCGAAAGAUGUGCUAAUACCGCGUAAGACCACAGCUUCACAUGGAGCGGGGGGUCGAAAGGAGCAAUCCGGAUAAAGAUGGGCUCGCGUCCGAUUAGCUAGUUGGUGAGAUAACAGCCCACCAAGGCGACGAUCGGUAGCCGACCUGAGAGGGUGAUCGGCCACAUUGGAACUGAGAGACGGUCCAG